UACGUAGGUGGCGAGCGUUGUCCGGAUUUACUGGGCGUAAAGAGCGCGCAGGCGGUCGUACAAGUCGCGUGUGAAAGCCCCCGGCUCAACUGGGGAGGGUCACGCGAUACUGUUCGACUCGAAGGCAGGAGAGGGUAGUGGAAUUCCCGGUGUAGUGGUGAAAUGCGUAGAUAUCGGGAGGAACACCAGUGGCGAAGGCGACUACCUGGCCUGUUCUUGACGCUGAGGCGCGAAAGCUAGGGUAGCAAACGGGG
rnacentral:rRNA from 1 species